rnacentral:rRNA from 1 species
AAUCAACGCUGGCGGCGUGCCUAACACAUGCAAGUCGAACGCGAAAGCCCGCAAGGGUAAGUAGAGUGGCGCACGGGUGAGUAACACGUGGACAACCUGCCUUCGAGUGGGGAAUAACCUUCCGAAAGGAGGGCUAAUACCGCAUAACACCUCGGGACACAAGUCUUGGGGUUGAAAAGAGCAAUUUGCUCGAAGAGGGGUCCGCGCCUGAUUAGCUAGUUGGUGAGGUAACGGCUCACCAAGGCUUCGAUCAGUAGCCGUCCUGAGAGGGAGCACGGCCACACUGGAACUGAGACACGGUCCAGACUCCUACGGGAGGCAGCAGUGGGGAAUCUUGCGCAAUGGGCGAAAGCCUGACGCAGCGACGCCGCGUGAGGGAUGACGGCCUGUGUAC